AUGCCGUUCAAUGGCAAAGCGGAGUACGUCCCGGAGCUCGGGCUCUGGUUUGGCCUCUCACGCCGCCUCCCCAUCGCUGUCGACCUCUCCGGCGUUGUCAGAGGGGAGGAGCCGCUGCCAGAGAAGUUGCGGAUCUGGGAGGAUGAUGACCUGCCAGAGGAGUGGCAGCCGAAUGAACUGUGCGACUCCAAGAUCAUCAGCCUCGGCUCAGGCAGGUUCCUCUUUGCUGACUUCCUUAGUGACAUGAAAUUCGACAAGGACAGCAGCGACAUGGUUGCUGGCCAGCAAUUUGCCCUCUUUACUGGUAUGGAGGUAGUGUACGGCAAUGGCAAUGGCAAGGGCGGCAAUGGCGCCAACAAAGACAAUUUCAACUGCAAUAGUGGCAACAAUGGUACCGGCAAAGACGAUGCCAACAACGGCAGCAAAGGCAAAGGGAUGAUUCGUGGGCUUCGUAUGAUUAAGCACAAGUCCAAACGCUACAUGUUUAAGAAGCAGCUGAGCAUCGAGGCGGUGCUCUGA
rnacentral:rRNA from 1 species